UUUAAGAUGUCUCGCUCAGUAAUACAAGCAUUCCUUUCAUGUUAACCAAUUAUGAAUGAAUCAAUUUAUGUUUCAAAGGGGUUUCAAAAAUAUUUGUAUAUGCCAGCCUGGCUGGUUAUUUAAAUGCAUUAGAGUGUAUUUCACAUUCUCAAUAUUCAGAAUACGAAAGCUUCAGAAUCUGUUUAUAUUUAAAAUAUUUGGGCCUCACUGACAUACUGAUUGUCCCGGGGUUUGGUUUGGUUUUUAUAAAAUAAAAUAAAAUAAAAUGUUCAGGUACUUCUACAAUAGAUCAUGUCCUGAAAUUUGGUAUACACAGAGAUAUUCAAUGGUGUUCAUCAUGCUGACUAAAGAUGAUGUUAGCUUCUGUUUGUCUUGGUAGACAGUCCUAUAUUCUUGGUAGAGUACUCUCAAGUUUUUCCAUCUCCAGGUUUUCCCUUUUAACCUCCUCUUCCUUCACCAAAAACCUCUUAUCUCCUACAAGAAUAUAGAAAUGUACUACACAUAUUUGAUUCACGAACGUCUUAUGAACUUACUCAGUUUCUUAUAAUUUAUAUCCCCUUCCUUCCAUCAUGGAACCCAAGGUGCUAUAACUGAGGUUCCCAUUCACUGACCAGAACUAAACCUGCUUAUCUUCAGGCAAAGUAGUGACCUCAUGUGCCUUCAGGUCAUAGGCUGGGAUGGUAUACCAGGGAUGGGGACCUUGUGGAACACCAGAUGUCGCUGAAUCACAGCUCCCAUCAUCCCUGGUCUUGAACCAUGUUGAACGGAGCUGAUGUGAGUUGGAGUCCAACCACAUCUGGAAAGCCACAGGUUUUCCCAACUUCUUAUACCUUCAAAAGAGCAAUAACCCAACAAAGAAGGCAAGCUCCUUUCUUCUCACCUCUGAAGCCCUUUUUAUUGACCAAGGCAGCUUCCAUCAGAGAGAAGGAAAAGGAAAUCCAUGGAGAGGGUUCGUUUGUGGAACUAGCAGGUAGACCUGGCAACUGCUGUGCAAAGGCUGUCACUAUGUAGGAAAGAGUAGAGAGAAGACUUCUUGUCAUGGCCUGUUGGAGUUUUUAUGAAGCCUUAAGCUGGGAAUGCUGCAAAUUAAAGAACAUUCGUUGUGCAAGAUUUCUCUUUCGCCUUUCUUGGCAAACAAGGCAGCUGCUUUGACACGCGUCCUUGAUACUAAAAGGAUUUCAAAGGGGCUCCCUGUCACUCUAUCCUUGGACCCUGAGGUCUGGAGAAUGCACAAUUCAUCAAUCCUGUUUACAGGAAGAAUUACAGUCACCGUUAAAUCAUCUGCAUUUGAACAGUCCCGUGGUAUGUGCUGGAACGAUUAGCAAUGACAGAAGUGCUUUUGGAUAGGGAGAUGGCAGUUUCUUUGAGGUAAUUAUCACAUGAAAUGUUGAUGCGGUGGCGGUGGUAAGGAAACUAAUUUGUUACCUCUUUCUCAAACGCCUCCAUUGGCCUCCACCCACCUCAGUUGAGCAGGAUGACAACUCUCACAUUUAGCUAUGUACUCCAGCACUGAUGUACUAGGUAAUUAUAGAUGCUGGACUUAAUGAUCUUAUGGGUAAUAGUCUUAGCUGGUAAUGCAUUUCAUUUCACCAACUUGAAAUGGUCCAAAAUGUGGUAAGCUGCUGUGUUUGAGGAGUGUGGUGGAGUCUCCUUCUUUGGAGGUCUUUAAGCGGAGGCUUGACAGCCAUCUGUCAGGAAUGCUUUGAUGGUGUUUCCUGCUUGGCAGGGGGUUGGACUGGAUGGCCCUUGUGGUCUCUUCCAACUCUAAGAUUCUAUGAUUCUAGGUUCCUCCUGCUCAUUCUGCUAAGUGGGACCCUAGACAUCUGCUCCCAAAUUCUACUGGACUCCAGAGUCCAUCCCCCUCAGGUAACAUUUGAGCCAGGGCCAAGAUGAACCUCCAGGGAAGGAAGGGCUAAAAAUGUCAGCUGCCUCUGCCUGACUAUGGCUUAGCUUGACUAGAAUUGGAGCUCAGCCUGGAAGCCUUGGUUAAAUGUUUGGGGUCUCUUGCCCCCACCUCCACAAUUCCCUGACAGCUCCAACCUUCCCUUUAGACAGAAGGAGCAGGUCACAGGGAGCUCCCUUUGAAGGUAUCCUCAGCUGCAAAUAAUGAUAAUGUUUGGAUUGUCAUUUCCAUCUGGGGUUAUGAGGUUUGUAACCUAUGAUUCCUCGCAGGAAAUGUCAUUCAGCAGCCUGUUGUUCCAUCGUACUCUCCCAAAGUAAGGCAGUUCUCUCUCUCUCUCUCUCUCUCUCUCUCUCUCUCUCUCUCUCUCUCUCUCUCUGCCUUUCUCUCUUGUUUAGGAAAGCAGAGCAAAGAAGGGAGUAAGCAGCAACAAAAGAUUAAUUUCGGGUUUUUUCAAGUGUUCGGAUCAGAUACUUGGGGGGUGGGGUGGGAUAUGAGGUGGGAAUUUUUUUCUAGUACUUGACUGGAAGCCCCCAGAACAUAAUUUGUCACUGUAAAGAGGGUGGGUUUCCAUGCACGUCCAGUUUCAAUCCAGUUUCAAGCCGAACAAAUCCAGGUCAAAUCCUGAAAUGGACUGCUUGGCCUUGAGAAUUAUUUUACGGUUUUUAAUAGGGAGGCACACUCUGAAAAAUACUUUUCCUCUUUCCAGAUUUCAGUUAAUACCAUCCACAGUGCUUGAAGGGAGAUAUCCCAGUGCUCUUUAGCAUCUGCAAUGAUGGGGAAAUUGGGGAUUUGCCACACAGUAUGAACCCUUACAUACAUUAGUAUGAGCCUUUGGCAAAGCAAGACAAAUGUUAAAGAUGCAUGUGCGCUUGACACGUUAGUAAAAUAAAUUAUUUUUCUGGGGUGUGAAUUCAUAAUUUUGAACUUGUAAUUGCAUACAGUUUAUCUUGUCGCAUGGACGUUUUAAUUUAUUAAACACAUUUAUGUAGACCUGUUGUGGCUUUUGGCAGGACCAAAUGCAUUUGAAGUCAACAGUCUGUAAAGUAAAAUGAGUUUGGUGUUAUCCCAGCAGGCUUAAGGGCUUUGUGUUGCUCUGGGAAAGUGCCAGAUCCACUGAGGUGCCCAGCACCUUUUGAAACCCUGCAUAAUUGGGGUUCUAAAAAAGUUUAUGGGUGCAGAAGUUCUUCCACUUCAGAACUUGACCUUCCAUGAGUCAGAAUGUGGCAGAAAGUGUGAUGUAGCAGGUCAGAGCUAGAAGACUCACUCCUGGCAUCCUCUGUGUGUUUACUUUAAUGUCUGGAGAGGGUGUUAAUUACUGGUGGAACUGAGCCAAAUUUCUACAAGUUUCAUUUUUCGUGUCAGAAUUUACCCGUUCAAGGGGAGAAAACAUUUAAUCAAAUAUUAGGUUAGGUUUAUCCCUUAGGUUAGGGUUGUUGAAUAUCUACAUCACCUCCAAACCUAAAAAAGUAAAAGUAACCAAAGUGAAAAAUGAAGCAAAUUAAAUACUUUUUUAAAACUAAUGGCACAAUCACAAAGCUAGAUCUGCUGGGGUGAGCAAGUUAGGAUGUGGAAGGUCUCUAGUUAUGCUGGCGUAAGUCCCCAACUUUGGCUCAGCCAUCCCUCAUCCCAGCUCAGCUGGUGCUCAAUAGCUCUAUUGUGUGACCUGACAACAUGGUAUAAGCCCAAAAGGGCUGUGUAAUUUAAAGGCUUCCCCCCCUUCGGCCGGGCUUAGCCUGGCUCAGGUAGCAGUAGACUGACUCCUGAAUGGAGUUUGGAUCUGGCUUAAACUUUACUUAAUUCACUCUGACUUUUGUGUUUGCUCCCUAAGUUUUUGAGAGAACCAGAGCUUAGAGACAGAGCUUUUCCAAAGUCCCCCAAGACUGAUUUACAGCUCCAGCAAAUUGUGCAGACCCUGAACCACCCCAUAAGACCAGUGCUUUCCCCCCAAAAAAGUGUUUAGGGGUACUCUCAUUUUCCUACUCAUAUUGAAAUACUGCCCUUCAAUGAGAACAUGACGGGGUGGGGGAGUUUAACCUUUUGCCUUUCUAUCAUAGCCUUAAUGACUAGGAGGAAGCUCAGAAAGGUGUGUAUGGUUUGUUUUUUUCCUGGUUCUGCAGAAGGGAGAGAAGGGGUUAAACUCCACACUGUCCCUGUGGUCCUAAUCCUGCAUCUCUCUGCCCCCAAUAGCUUCUACUUUGGCCUUUAAAAAUAGUCAUACUCAAUCCAAAAAUGUGUUUCACACAAUACAGUGGUACCUCGGUUUACAAACACAAUUGGUUCCGGAAGUUUGUACUUAACCUGAAGCGUACUUGACCUGAAGCAAACUUUUCCAUUGAAAGUAAUGGAAAGUGGAUUAAUCUGUUCCAGACAGUCCGUGGAGUACUUAAACUGAAGCGUACUUAACCUGAAGUGAACUUUCCAAUUAAAAGUAAUGGAAAGUGGAUUAAUCUGUUCCUGACGGGUCCGCGGAGUACUCAACCUGAAGCGUACUUAACCCAAAGUAUGAGUGUAAUUGGUUCCAGAAGUCCGUACUUAACCUGAAGCGAACUUUUCCAUUGAAAGUAAUGGAAAGUGGAUUAAUCCGUUCCAGACAGGUCCACGGAGUACUUAAACUGAAAAUACUCAAACCGAGGUGUACUUAAUCCGAGGUAUGACUGUAUCAUGUUUGGCCCCACACGAUAGCACAAGACAAGACCUGCUGGGUCAGGUCAAUGGCCCACCUAGACUAGCACCCUGUUCUCACAGUGGUCAACAAGACACUUAUAGAAAACAUGAAAGCAGAAAUUGAGCACAAUAGCAUUCUGCCUUCCUGAGGUUUCCAGUGUCCAAGCAGAUGCCUGUGGGAAGCCCAGAAUGCAACUAGCAGCCCAGUUGCACUAGUAAGUUUUAUUUAAGGUGUUGAGGACCAGGUUGUGCUUAACAUGUACUUGCAAUUUUCUUUUUACAUUACCAGCCACUUGAAGAAUCCAAACUGCUUAUUAUACAUAUCCUUCCUCUUUAUUUCAGACAGAUGAGAGUUGCUCGUUUUAGUGGAUGGUUUCUUUUGCUUCAUCUUUCUCCACGUUCUUAAAUUACUGAGGCAGCUCAGGAGUUGGGAACUGUUCGGAGAAGAAGGAAAUAUUGAUGCAAUCUAAUAUUUUUUAGCGCGUGUUGUUAAGGUUCUUCCAUCUUUCCAAUUGUCUAUUAGACUGCAGCAGAACAGAAUCCUUCUGUAGGACUUCACCUAUAUGAUUCAGAGUCUAAAAAUACCAUCUGUAUACCAUCUGCACAUUGAUCUUCGGUAUAGUCCCCCAGAGGAAGAGAGAGCUCAAUAAAGUUUUAUUUACUUUAAAUGGAGUGUAGGGGAGGAGGCGGGGUAAUUUAAUUUCACCUGUAAUGGAAAUGUCUGAGAUGGUACAUGAAAGGGAACUGCAGCUAUAGAGGGGAGAACGUAAUUUAUCUGAUGAGUUCUGUAGUUAAGCAUAAAUAGUAACACAUCAGUUAUCCAUAAUCAAUCUAUGAAUGGUGGUAGAAUUAUUAUGUUCCACACACCGAGACAUUGUGUGUGAGAGCAGGCGUUUCUUUCUUCAUUGAUUGAUUCUGUAUGUGGGUCCCAAACCAAAGCUCAGGGAAGUGCCUGUCGCUCAUUGUUAAAACACAUGCUUUGGACACAAGAGCGCUGUAUGAUAAUUAUACUCAGAGUAGACCCACUGAAAGCAGCACACUUAAGGUAGUCAAACCCAUCAAUUUCAUUACGUCUCAUCAGCUUCAGCCCACGCUGUUCAAGUUUCAAUCCCUGACGUGUAGCUAAAGGAUUUGAGGGUUAUUGGUCUGAUCCAGUCUGGGCUUUUAAGAUUUCUUUUUAGGAAUAAAUAAAUCUAUCAAUUUCUGUUCUCGAAGUUUCUCAUUUUCCCAAUCUUAAAUUAAGUUUUCCACAUUUGCUUUCCUUCAUGAAAAUUCACCAGCAUUUUAGCGGAAAUUUCAAAUGCGAAACACAUUUUUUUGCAAUAAAAUAAAAAAAAUCCUUCCAGCAGCACCUUAAAGACCAACUAAGUUUUUAUUUUGGUAUGAGCUUUUGUGUGCAUGCACACUUCUUCAAUGUACACAUUUUUUCAAGUAAUUUCCCCAAAUGCAAAGUAUUUUGAAUGCUAUAUCCACCAUUAUAGGCAUUUAACACAGAUUUUGCGUAUGUGCAUUGUUGUACAUAAUACUUGCUUAGAGAACUGCAACGUAAAAUCUAAAGAAAUGCAAAUUUCAAAGGGCAGCUGUGUUUCAGUUCGCAUGUUGGUUCAAGAAGUUUGAAUUAGGCAGGUUCUCAUCCAAAUGCAAAUGAAACCAAAUUUUCACUCAGUUAUUCUGCCUGACACCUUGGAGAGCCAGAAAUCACCUUGCAACACAGAUUAUUUUUUUGAACCUUAAACAACUGUUCAUUCUAAAAAGUCUAUGCUCCAAUACAUGUCAUGGUUGGAAGGUGAUUAAUAUCUAAAAAUAAAGAAUUUCAUGCCUAAGAAGGUAUACAGGACAAUCCUAUUCGGUUAAAUACUCAGAAGUAAGUCCCAUUCACUUCAUGUGGCACAUUUGUAACUAAGGGCAUAUAGAAACACUCUCUUAAGUUACUUAACAUUGUUGUAAGUUGAGCAUUAAACAUUUUAAUCAUAAGAGUUAUUAGUUUAUAUUUUCUCUUACAUUUUUCUGCAGGGUGGGGACAAAAUAGAGGCAUUUUUUUUCCAUUUUUGUUCUUUUGUAAAGGUGGAUUCAGCUGCUCUGGUAAUAGUGUCAGCUGAUCUGAGCUUGGAUGUUUGUGGAGGGAAGGAAGGAAGAAAAAUUCAUCUAAAGAGGAGGGAAGGGGCAGACUUUCCCUCAAGGAUUUUGGUGUGUUUGUGGGAUGGCUUGCCUUAGACUUUCAUUUUGUUGUGUUUUACAAAAAAAAAAAACCUGAUUGCAUGAUGGUGGUGGUGAUAUGUUUUUGGAAAAUAAGAAACUUCCCCUCUUGGGCACCUUAUUUAAAGGUAGCCCAACCCCACUCUUGCAUGGUAGGUGAUAAUGUCAGCAGCUCAAGAGCCAGUGCGGUUCCCCCUAUUCCUAAAAACCACCCCAUCCAGAAAACUGUGGUGAAUUGUUGCUGUCUCAUCCCACAGUUUAAGGGUCCUAGGCCCUAAAGAAGCCAGACGUUCCUCCACAAGGGCCAGAGCCUUUUCAGUGAUGGCACCGACCUGGUGGAAUGCUCUGUCCCAUGAGACUAGGCCCCUGCUGGACGUGAUCUCCUUCCGCAGGGCCUGUAUGACAGAGUUAUUCCACCUGGCCUUCAAUUCAACCUAAGCUUCCAUUCCUUUUUCCCUUCCCCUGGCGAUGCUAUAUUGAUGUUGUGUUUUAUGCUGUUUUUAAGUUGUUUUUAAUCAAUGUUUUUCUAUCUGUUGUUAGCCACUCUGAGCCCAGUUUUUAAACUGGGAAGGGCGGGGUAUAAAUAAAAUUAUUAUUAUUACUAUUAUUAUUACUAUUAUUAGAGAAGUGGCUCCCACAAAAGAAUAGGGUUAUACUUUUUUGCAUGUUCAGACCCAGAGACCUCUCCCCCCCCCAAAUAAAAACACAUUUGACUCAAAUUUUAGUUUUGGUUUUUGGCAUAAUUUAGGCCACAACUCUAUUGAUUACAGAAAAGUGAGUGGUUGCAUAGGCUCUGGUUCGACUAGGUCUCUACAUCCUUGCAGGUAGCACUGACCCAGAGCUCUCUCAUAGGUCAGCCAAGGGUGAACACCUGAGGAAGGUGAAAAGCCUGGGAACAGACUCUGUCCACUCCCCCAGAUGCUCCCCUGGACUCAGGCACGGGCACAACCCCCCUCUCGGGGGCUGACCAAACCAAGUUAAGUCCCUGGGUUCCUUUAACGGAAUACCCUUCCCAUCGGGAUGGCGAGACUGUUCUCCCAUCCCUAUCACCUGAACCAGUGCCUAUCUGCAACCUUACAAGUUGUGACGAUUUGCUAUGUGGCAGGCGAAACCCAAAUGGCAACAGCCAAUCAGCCAAGUGGGGGAAAUUCCUGCCGUGCCCCUGUCCCAAUGACAGAUGCCACACAACGGCAUAGCAAGGUCAAACGCAAAAUGCCCCAAAAAUAGGGAGAGGUGGGCAGUUGUUCCGUUUGCACAAGCCAAAAGAGAAGCUCUGGGUCACGUGCAAGGGAUAAAAUAGGUCCCUCGAACCAUUUAGGCUGCACCCCAUUGGUCAGAUUACACCCAGCAACGAGGGACCUACCAAUCAGGCAUUGUGGCUAUCCAAUAGACCCCACCCACAACCAGGAGGUCGGUCUCCAGGUCUCAGUGCAACACAUGCCCUCUUUUAGGGAGGACAUGCUUUUCAGGACAGCAUUGCUUCAUGGAGCCAUGUCAGUUCUAAACUUGUUCCUGAGUUGAAAGCCUGUAAGACAUGAGCAGCGCCUUGUUGGAUCAGACAAGAAGGUUCAAUCAUGUUCAUAAUAUUGUGCUCUCGGUGGGAAGAGGGGAUUUGAUUCAGUUCACAUUUUUAAAGCUGAACUCACAAAAUCCGCAUUUUCCCAAAUGAUACGUGAACUGAAGCACACCCGGCCUUCCAAAUCUGUGCAUUAUCUGAACACUCAGGAGGGAAAGACUAGCACCUUUUCCUAUUCCUAUUCCAGAAUUCUAUCUCUCUGAACACAGCUUGUGAGUUUCCUAAGGAACAACCCUUGCUUGUAUCAAGUCAUUGCCCGCAACCCUCCCUGUGCGCAUCCCUCAUUUUUUGUGGCAUAUUAAAGUUGGGGGGGGGGGCAGUGCCUGCAUACCUUUGUAACAGAGAGAAAAGAUUCUAGCGUCUCAUACAAUGCAGACUUUCAAACUGCCAUCAACGGGGGUCUGUCCUUGAGUUGAUGGGGCUUCAAAGUGUAGCAUUUCUUCCAGUGUGGAAUGUUCACAGACGUGCGUUUCCUUUUUGCCAUUCAUAGAUGCAUAAUUAAAGUCAACAAAGGGAAAAAUAUUUACUGAAAGUGAGGUUUUAUAUUUACCUUAUGUUUUGUGGGCAUGCUUUACAAUUUAUCAGUAUAUUGCUCUCCCCCGACCCACCAAUAUCUCUGUGUGUAGACAGAUAAGCUAGGCCUUACAGAGUUAGUGACCUUUACUACUUAUAAGCUCAUUAUCACACUAAAUUGAGCUGCCAUCGGUGGAAUCCUUUCUGAAGCCAGUAUUUCUAAUCAGACACGACCUUCCUUCAUCUGUUGCAGCAUGUUAAAAAUGGAGAGAGAGAGAGAGAGAGGAUGAGAAGGAGGAGGAAAGUAUUUGGUGGUGUGCCAGAGAGGGGGAAAGCUCCUGCCACAUUGGUCUAAGUCAGGCAUAGGCAACCUUGGCUCUCCAGAUGUUUUGGAACUACAACUCCCAUGAUCCCUAGCUAACAGGGCCAGUGGUCAGGGAUCAUGGGAGUUGUAGUUCCAAAACAUCUGGAGAGUCAAGGUUGCCUAUGCCUGGUCUAAGUGAAUGUUUGUUACUUCUAGUUAAGAACGUUGGAUAAUUAUGAUCAAAAAAGGGGGGAACUGAAGCAGAUUUUUCUUUUUGGUCCUGUGUUCAGAAAGGAGAUCAAUACAUUGGUGUUUUCUGUUGUAUUGUGAUCCCAACACCUUCUGGGGUAUUUACUUUCCCCUCAGGGAAAUCACUGGGGUCACCAUGCAUAACCAAGCCCUUUCCAGGCUCCUAAUCCCUGCCUGGUCCCUGUCAGAGAGUGAAGCCCUUUCUAGGCUCUAAGCUGAUCACUGUCUGAUUCCUAUGUGUCAUUCAAGACCAAGCACUUUCUAAGCCUAUCUGACUAGGAUCCAAACAAUAAUGAAGACUGCUUCCUCCACCUUGGAGACCCUCAAGCCACGUUUGGUGACAAUAUCACAAGCGGUAGCCAAACAUGUAAAAAUAAUGGUCAAAGUCACAGUGAUGUCACAUUUUGGUCCACCAUCUUGAUUCAAAAUGGUGCCUGGCAUACCAAUGGUGACUCUCUGCUGCCCCCAUCUUGGUAACUCUUUUGGUAAUGACCUGGGCCUCUAUAGCAGAGAUUAGAAUAACACAUGGAUUAAGUUGUAGUGGAUGACCUUCAGCAAGACAGAGCCCACUUGCCAGCUAUUUAAAAAGCAAAUAUAGGGAUACAACUAAGUACUAACUUGUUUUGUGAGUAUAAGGAGAUAAAGAAAAUGUUAGGAAUCUAUUCAACAGAGUUAAAGGAGUUAAAUAUUUCAGUAUCCACCCUUACCUAAUUUAGAAGCAGGCUGGUAUGUAAUGAUGCUGUUUUAGCUUUCACUACUUCUCUCUCUUUUUUGGUAUAUCUUUUUCAAUUGUCUGGCAUCUUCACAGCUGGGCCUGAAUAAAUAAAUUCCGAUUUAGCAAAGUAAAUAUUGCUUUUAUGAUGAUCAGUACCUAGCACAAAUGUGCCAUUAUUGCUGUAAAUUCAACAUGUUCUCUCCAUUUUGAGAUGAUAAAGCUUACACUGGCUUUAAGGAAUGUGUCCUAUAAUACCAAUUACUGUUAAUCUUUUGAGGGACAUAAGAUCGUUCAAAUCGAGCCCAAGCUGGUUGCUUGAAGGGUCAUGGUUGUAAUUUAAACUAUAUGUUUUCUCACGCACGAGCAGUAGAAGAAUCUACAAAUUCAGGGCCAAUUCUGCUGUGGCCAAGGGAGGGCUCAACCUUCAGAUAUUUUAUGCUUUCCCAGCCAAAGCUUCGUAAGAUUUGUCUUGAGGGUUGGGGAAGGCAAAGAUUAUGCGGUGAUGCAAAAGAGAAACAUUUAAAUAAUUUGCCUCAGCAGCUGAUGGGCACCAUGUUUAAAUGACUGGCUACUGGGAUUAGGUUCAUUACAGCUAAGUAUAUAAUCAUAGUUAAUCAUUCCCUGGUUUUAGACUGGCAGAGGACCAGGCAAAAUAGCCUGGUUUGGCCUUGAACAAUCCAGGACCACCCAUAUUUGAAUUCUGCAGCCCAUCUGCCAAAUAUAUGCAGGCAGGAUUGGACACCAUUCCAGUAAACACGGUUUUUGGCAUUGUGGCUGAGGGUGUCCCAACCAAAAUCGUGGUCAGCAUUUUCAAACUAGAUAAGCAUAAGAUCCAUGCUGAAACAGUCUAUCCCAUGUUGUCCCUGUUCUUACAGAGCUCCUGUUCAGAAUCCAAGACAAGCCAUGCCCUUUCCUCACAUCUCUCUCUCUUCUUUGUCCUGCCCAGCCAUCCCCACCCCUAAGAGACGUUCAGCAUACCAUGUUGAUUGAACUUACUCAGUUCUCAUUGAGCUAUUGGAGGAGAGCAUUUUCAUUUCUAAAUAAUGAUAAAUGUUUCUUUUUGGUGCCUGCUGAAGACAAUCUUAUUUAGACACGCCCACCCAGAUGUUUAAUAGGGUGUAUGAAUUUUAUUUUUAUUUAUUUUUAAUUUUUGACUGUUUGAGAUUAUGGUUGUAAAUUGGCGAUAAUUUUAUUUUAUCUUUCUUGGUAAACCAUUUUGAGGAUUUUUCCUAAAAUACAUUUUAUGAAAUAAAUGAAUAACUACUUUUUGCAUCUUUGCGAACGUCAGAGUUUCACCAUGCCUUCUGAUACCUCCAUCUUGCGAGUGGAUGGUGAAGUUAUGGCUAUGUAUAGGGAUCCAUGCUAUGAGGAUGUGUUUACUAUUUAAUAUACCUCUGAAAUCUGGAGGCAUCAUAGAAUUGUAGAGUUGGAAGGGACCAUGAGAGUCCUCUAGUCAAACCCCCUACAAUGCAGAAAUCUUUUGCCCCACAAGAUUAAGAUUAAGAGUACCAUGCUCUACCGACUAAACUAUGUCAUACAAACAUCUACCGGUAAUAAGCCUAGGUAAAGGUAAAGGGACCCCUGACCAUUAGGUCCAGUCAUGACCGACUCUGGGGUUUUGGUGCUCAUCUCGCUCUAUUGGCUGAGGGAGCCGGUGUACAGCUUCCAGGUCAUGUGGACAGCAUGACAAAGCCGCUUCUGGCGAACCAGAGCAGCACAAACCAGAGCAGCACACGGGUGGUGCUGUGGGUUAAACCACAGAGCCUAGGGCGGUUCGAAUCCCGAUGGGGUGAGCUCCUGUUGCUCAGUCCCAGCUCCUGCCAACCUAGCAGUUCGAAAGCACGUCAAAGUGCAAGUAGAUAAAUAGGUACCACUACAGAGGGAAGGUAAACAGCAUUUCUAAUAAGCCUAGACAGAGCCAUAUUCCACGAACUUUUCUAAUUCCCCUUUAAAAGUCAUCUAAACUGGUGGCAGUAGCUACAUCAUUUUGUUACAUAAAUUACUGUUGUCUGCCCUGGACUUACUGUCAACCUUGAUGUGAAGGUAGAGCUCAUUGGUAGAGCACAUCCUUUACAUGCAGGAGGACCCAAGUUCAAUCCUUAGCAUCUCCAGGAGAAGACCACUUUCUGAAAUCCUGGAGAGUUGCUAACGACCUCUGUAAGCAAUACUGAGCUGGAUGUGCCAGUGGUUUGUUUUGGUAAAACACAGCUUCCUGUGAUCCUACAUUUUAGUCUUACAGAAAAGGGAAGAACAUUAAGCUCUAUACAGUUCCACCAUAGCAUGCAUAAUUCUAUAAAUCUAUAACAUUUUCCCUAGGAAAGGGGCUGCAGUCCUAUGAUCAUCUUGGUUGCUCCUGAAGAAACAUCAGGGUCCUGUCUGUUCUGUAUACUCUUUGUUGAUGUUGUUGUUGUUUAGUUGUUUCCAACUCUUCAUGACCCCAUGGACCAUAGCACUUCAGGCACUCCUGUCUUUCACUGCCUCCCACAGUUUGGUCAAACUCAUGUUCGUAGCUUCGAGAACACUGUCCAACCAUCUCAUCCUCUGUCGUCUCCUUCUCCUAGUGCCCUCAAUCUUUCCCAACAUCAGGGUCUUUUCCAGGGAGUAGCAUUCAAUGAGAACCAACCCAACCAGUAGCUGCCUUUAUCUUGUCAACUUCUUGUCAUAUAUGCAAGUGACCUUGAGCCAUCAUGGGAACUUAUUAUUAUUAUUAUUAUUAUUAUUAUUAUUAUUAUUAUUAUUAUUAUAUUUAUCCCAGGCACUCUGGGCAGCUUCCAACACAUAUAAAAACAUAAUAAAACAUCAAAUAUUAAUAUUAACAAUUGGGUCCAAUAUUUUAAAGUCCAAAAAAAAUAUUUGAAAUAAACAGCAAUAUUCAAUAAUCCAUUCGAAUCUAAUAUAAACAGUAGCAUUAAACAUCAGCAAAUAAAAAUUAAACAGUUUACACUCAUCAAUUACAAUAAAGAAUUACUAAUUAGUAAAAAUAACAGCAAAUCACAAAGCAUAAUAUACCGCAAAACAUACAAAUAAAUGGAUCCAAUUGAGAAACAAUGACACACAACUUAUUUUUGAAAAAAUAUCCCUGAACUCUUCUCUUCCCAGCUGCUUCUGCUGUUCUCAAAGUCAGGCAAUCAAAGGCCCAGAUUUUCUGUCCUGGAUUCCUUGGCACAUGGAGGACCUGAAACAAAGAGUUAAAAAGCCUGUAGUUUUGCAUUUGUUUUGCCUUUGCUGGAAUGAGGUUUUCAUCUCUGAUGCCAGUCAGUUGCUCCAAAUACAGCGAGUCCUGUGGCACUUGAAGGCGGGCCUGUUUCUAAGAUUUAUACCUGCCCUUUCCUCCGGGGAGCUCAAGGUAGUAUUCAUAAGAGUUCCUAGGAAGUCUCCCCUCCAGGCAUUGACCAGAUCCAAGCCUGCUUAGCUUCAGCAAGGUUAUUGUGGCAUGAACUUCCACAGGCCCGGGAGAUCUUACUUCAUCAGAUGUAAGACAGAACAAAGCAAAGAGCUUUUUGCAGCCAAAGAGAAGGUGUGCAAAAUUCAAAGUAACAAGCUGGAGCAGAAGGCUGCAGGGUGGGGAGGGGGGAGGCAAGCAGGGAGCAAAAGAAUGGCAUUCAAUAGGGUAGGGAGAAACAGCUGCAAACUUCUGUAUAGGAAAAAGGCAGUAUCUUUUAUUCCCGGUUCAUUUCAGCAAGUCGUUUCUUUCAAGUUAACUCGGAGCAGGUCUGCUGUUAUGAUUGAAAAAACAUAAAUUUGGGGGGACUGCAAAUAUCAGAUGGAAUUGUGAGGACCAGUUCUGUGGCAAAGAGUAAAUCUCAAAUUGCAUUGUGCGUCAAGAAUACUGAGUUUAAAAAUCACCACCACCUUAUCUCUGUGUCAUUGGGCUGGAUUCCAUGAGAGCCAGCACAAUGAUUCCCAGUAGCACUGACAGGACAGUCAUAAUAGUGCAACACUGAAAUUCCUCUCUCUGCUUCCCCCCUGUUGAAAUCCCACUUCUCUUUUAAUCUAGGUCCACUAUUUAUGUGUCAGGAAUUUUGCCAAAGAUGCCCUAACUCAGCUCUGCAUAUUAAAUGAAGACCCUUUCUGUGACCCAUUCUCGGCUGGAGAGUCCUGCUGCACAAUAAGAAAUCAGUCUUCUGGUGUACUUAAGAGCUGGUGUGCUUGGACACCAGUUUAUUUACAAGAAAACACAUCCAGAGCAUGGCCUUCCCACCUGUUGUCAUUAACAGUAGUUGCUCGUCCCUCCCCCAACAGGAAGAACGCCAAAAUCCCGCCUUCUCCUUCCUUUCCAUUGUUCUCUGAGCUUCUCCAGUCUCCUUAGUAAUGGGGACUGAGCAGCUGGCCUGUCUCCUCCCCACUCCCAGAAGACACAGCCUCAGCCUCUGGCUUAUCUGCUGGUUGCCUGGCAAUGCUCGGGCUGACUUCCAACUCUUCCUCUCCUUGGGAGCUAACAGCUUCUUCCCUGGGAAGGAGGGUGCUGGGCUGUCUUCUCUAAACUCUGACAAACAGCUCUCAUCUGCAGAGUCAGCCCCUUGCUCGCUUUGCUCAAUUUCUGAGGCUGGCACUUGUGCUGCAACUGGAUGGGGUGGGGGGAGGCAUGUUCCCGACACCAGAUUUUAGCCCAAAUUAUCUUCUGCUGGGCUGGGAGAGCAUUCAAAAAUAUGAUCUCCUCAAACUGCAAACCAAAAUGGUACAGUUCAUUAUAUCAUCUCAGAUCUCUUUCUGCUAUGUGUGUAUAGCAGUCUUGAAUGUAUCUCGUAUUUGUGUCCCAUUACAGAGGGUGGUGACCAAACAAGCCUAGAUGCUACCAGCAGAAUACUGUAGCAGUGAAUGAAUUUCAAUUUAUGAAAUAUCAGUUGAUGAGAAUUACUAAUGGGUAGAGCGCUGUUGCAUGCAGGAAGCCCACUGGAAUGUUUUGAAAAUUCAGAGCUAAUGACACAUGUCUAAUGCCAGCAGGGAGGUCAUGCCACAUAUCGGGUGCCACUACCCUAAAGGUCCUGUUCUUUGCCCCUACAGAUUAGAUGGCAGGAACAGCUUUAGAGCUUUGUCUAUACCAGAAGAGGUGGUCCAUAGGAAUCACAAAUUCCAGAUCACAGCACUGAAGAAUCAACCAGCAUUGUUAUUUCCAUACUGUCAGAGGGUCGUCGUGGCUACUCUAGAGUAACUCCGCUUGAGUCCAGUUUGUCUUCAAAGACGUUUAUUGUGCUAAUUAUUUACAGUGUAGAGACAGCUUAAAACAUGACCUCUCAUCCCGAAUCAGAAUCCGGCAAUGGCGUACGUCUGUUCCUACGCCAGCAAAGUAGUCUGGGCACCCCAAAACGCUGCCCCCUUGACCUGCGUUGCAGUGCUCUCCUCAUUUCUGGCACGAUGCCUUUUCAGUUUCCUCCCUCAGCAGUUGGUUCCCUGGCUCUGCAGUAUUCCCAAGUGUCUGUCUGCCUCCGAGCUUUCCCAUUGUUCCUCACUCUGAUUUCUCUCCCUCUCCUAGUCUCCUCCUCCCCCUCUGGCUGCUUCAGAACCACUGCUGCUCUCUGUACUUGAUGAGGUGGAUGUUUAGGAUGAUGGGGGCUAGCUCCCUGUAGUGAGUCCCCCUUACUGGCAUGUGUGUGCUGCUGGUGAGGUUGUAAGAAUACUAGCUUUCCUACAUGCUUAUGUUUUGACCGAGGCAAGAUUAGAACUGAGAACGUCAAAGUUCUUGCCCUCUUUGAUUCUCUCCUUUCUCAAACAUACAGCAAACAGCUCCAUUUGACCACAUCUCAGACCAAAUGGCUUCUUCUGCCAUUCUCCCAAGGGAGAGACUUGGUGAGAAGUGUCAACUGUGCUGCCCCUUCACCUCUCGUGAAAUCCCCAAAUGUGGGCCCUGUUUAAAAAAAUUAGCCACAGUCUUGGAGGAAAUGAAUUAUGCCUCGUUAAGAAGCUGCGGACACAUGCAUAAAGCUUAAAAGAUCAUGAAUAUAAGCACUUGAGUCUCUUGUCAUAAUCUGUGGCCAUGUGAAUUAUCACACCGGUUAAUGAUUCAAAGUGCUACGGAGAAUGGUUAGCUUUUCAUAAGGGUAGUUCAAAAGAUCACAGUGAAAUGCAGCCAUAUGUAAAACUACACACUCAUUAGCGCUGAGAUAUAGGCAAGGAGCCAAAUUAACAUUCUUGCACUGUCGUUCCUGAUUCGAAGGCAGCCAGUUUCUGGUUAUAAACAAAUGGAGCGAGCUAUCAGAUUUACAGCCCCUCCUUCCUGUGAACCUCCAGGUUUAUUUAUUAUGUCUGCAUUAUGUGAAUUUCUUCAUUUCCCCGGGAGGAAGAAUAAUCAAUUAUUCCAGUAUCUGUGUAUUUCACUUACCACUGUACGGAACGGGGGGGGGGGGGCAUCAACUCUGUUAAUGCUCAUCUCCUCCUGCUUUGAGAAAUUGCACAACCCUCUUUGGAAAAUUACCAAAACAUUCACACACAAAAAAUCCACCAGCCGCCACUCCUCGGCAUCCCAUAACUUUUUAGACCUAGCAACAACAAUAAGUUGAAGAUCAGCUUCUCCCCACCCCUUCUGUCCAAUAAAUUGUGCAUCUCUGAAAUUGCAUUGUAAGAGCCAAACUAGAUGAGAUAUUGGCAAUCUGUGAGCUGGGAAGGGGGGGGGGUGCUAGCCUCUCACCCCACCACAGUAUCAUUUUCUCAAAUCAAAUACCUUCCCCCAAAUGCUGUUGGCUUCAUUAGAAAAAAAAAGAUACAUCAGGAAUGUAGGAACACAUUGGUCUAUCUCUGCCAGUGUGUUCUACACUGGCUGGCAGGAUUUCAGUGUAAAUAUGGUAGGCUCACAUUAAAAGACAAAAUCAAACAAAUUUAUCCCACAUCCUAAACCCCAGGGGAAUAGGAUUGCAGUCUGUAAGUGUUGGAAGCAUUUGCAAUCCUUACAGCAACCAUCUAAGGUGGAUCAGUUUUAUCAGCCCUAUACUGCAAACUGGGGGAAAUUCUUGCUGAAUGAUAACAACUUGAAUCAUUCCAGCUAUUGACAGCUGAGGUGAGAUUUUGAACCAGUGGCCCACCCACAUUUUUGUAUUUGUUGUUGCAUUUUUCUCGAAAUUUCCCAUUAAGCAUGGUGGCAUACGUGGUUUUCUCCCUCACCAAUUUAUCCUCACAAACGACCCUGACAGGUAGAUUAGAUGGAGAAACUGCCCCAUGGUUACCCUGUGAGCUUCAUGGCUGAGUGAGGUUUUAAACUCUGGUCUGCCAGUUCCUAGUCCAGCAGAUCUCGAAGGGUGAGGCACAUCGCACCAGUGUGGCAGGAAGAUUUAAGGACAUUUAAACAGUUCAGUAUGGUAUCCUAUGGUAUGGUAUCAAAUUAUUUUUAAUUUGCAGAAUAUGGAUACAGUACAUAUCUUUUCAAAAUGAGAGCAAGAACAUUGGCUAUUCUUCUGCAGUUCUCCGUGACAUAUUGUUGUGUUUCACCUCUGACAAUUAUGAAAGAUCAGAAAAAAAGAAAAGCUUCUUUGUGCUGAUGAGGAGAUGAGUGUUUUGUUUGUAUUAGACCUCAUAUAGAAGAGAUUACCCGGCAAAAGCAAGAUCACACUUCUCAUUGAGUUUGUGUAAAUACUCAAAGUACGUAUGUAAGAGGCUCGUUCAUAACAUGUAUUUUGAGAAAAAAAUUCAUGUUCUUAUGUAGCUGCAUUGUUUUAGACCAGGAGUUCCCAAACUAAGGCCCGGGGGCCGGAUGCGGCCCAAUCACCUUCUAAAUCCGGCCCGCGGGCGGUCUGGGAAUCAGCAUGUUUUUACAUGAGUAGAAUGUGUCCUUUUAUUUAAAAUGCAUCUCUGGGUUAUUUGUGGGGCAUAGGAAUUCAUUCCUAUUUUUUUUCAAAAUAUAGUCCGGCCCCCCACAAGGUCUGAGGGACAGUGGACCGGCCCCCAGCUGAAAAAGUUUGCUGACCCCUGUUUUAGACUUUCUGGACGUCCCGUUAUCAUAUUAUAAAGUACCUGUGUUCUAUGUUAUAAAUCAAGCACUGCUAGUUGUUGUUUUCCCCCAUUGUAUUUCUUAUCAGUAUAAAAGUUGGUGUGGCUUGAGCAAACUUUGGUUCCGGCCCAGGGAAAAAUGUUUGAGAACCACUGUCUUACUCCAUUGCUACAACCACUAGGCCAUGCUCUUCCUUUUGGGUCCUGCUUGCAGGUUUCCCACCGCCCUUGCGGGUAUCUCUUCCACCCUUGUUAAGAACUGGCUGCUAGUCUGCUCCAGCUUGUUCUUCUUGAGCUCUUAUGAUACAUGUUCAUAUUCUCAGAUUUAUUUUGUCUACCUCCACUCUAUUUGCUGCAAACAUGGAAUUUAUAUCCAUGUUUGUUGCUCUUUCCACAUAACAUGUAUGGUGUUUAAAAUUGUUCACUGGAGUGUGGUGUCUUGUAGCAGAAGAAAACUGAUAUUUGAAUUUAAAAUUCCAUGCUGGGGGGUAGGGCACACAACUUACAGGCUUUGGUUUUCUAAAGGGAAUAUGUUGCAUCGUUAAAGGCAGGAUUAAAGCGGCAAUUAAUGAAUAACCCUCUAAUUCCCCAACAAGGCAAACAAACUGACCCCAAGGUGCUGCUUUUAAAGUGGAAGUUUCAUUGCAAUAUACUUGGCUUUGUAAUAAACAAAAACACCACGAUUAAAAAGUGCAAUCUGGAGUCACGCUUCUUUGUAGCUGCUGCUGAAAGCUCAUCUAGCUAAUUAGCUCUUCCAGUCCAGUUUCUGCUAAUGUAGUUCUUACAGUGUGUCAUGAAAAUGUAUAUUAAUGCCAUUUAGAAUCUAAACAGCUUGAAAUUUCCCUCGCCGCUCAGCAGAGGUCAGAAAUGUUUGCAAGAGAAUAAGUUUUAAGAGAGAGGGGGGGAGGGAGAGAGAGAGAGAGAGCUGGUUCUCAGGACAAAAGAAGAAUGAAUUCAAGCCAGCCAAAGUCCCCUGAUUUCAAUGGGAACGCAUUAAUUAUGUGCAUAAUGCUGUGCCAUUGAAAUCAGUGAGACUGUAAUGUGCUUAAAUUUGCCUGUAUCGUAUUCACACGCCCAAUCUCCAGUAUACAUUUAAGGCAAUGCCAUGCCUCUUUAAGCAGUCAUGACUUCCCAAAAAGAAUCCUAGAAACUGUAGUUGCAAGGCCCUGAGAGUUGUUAGGAGACCGCCAUUCCCUUCGCAGAACUACAAUUCCCAGAGUGGUUCAGCAAUCAAUAGCACUUCCCAGGGAACUCUGGGAAUGCGGGGAAGGCCUGUGGCUCCGUGGUAGAACAUGUGCUUUGCAUGCAGAAGGUUCCAGGUUCGAUCCAGGUAGGUCUGGGAUGGACUCCUGUCCGAAACCUUGGAGAGCCACUUCCAAUCAGUGCAGACAACUCUGACUUACAUGGACUAAUGAUUCGGCUUGGCAUAAGGCAGCUUGCUCUGGUCCUAAUUGUCCACGUGAGUUGUUAGGGGGGUUCUGUGCCGUGUUUGAUGUGCAGCAGCUCACUCGGCAAGGUAAUCCUGUGCCAUGCUGCUGAUGUGUACAUAGCCUUCUUCAGAACCUAAUGACUAAGUUACUGAGAAUGUCAUUUUUUGUGAGCCUUUCGUAUUAAUGUUUUAUUGGAAAGUUUUCAAAUAUAAAGAAACAAAGUGAUGCGAAGAAGAAAUAAAAAGGCUCAAAAAUGGGUAAAAAGAAGCAAUAUAUGAAUACAGUGGUACCUUGAGUUACAAACGCUUCAGGUUACAAACUCCGCUAACCUUGAAGAGUUACCUCGAGUUGAGAACUUUGCCCCAGGAUGAGAAUGGAAAUCAUGUGCUAGAGGCACAGUGGCAGCAAGAGGCCCCAUUAGCGAAAGCACGCCUCUAGUUAAGACCAGUUUCAGGUUAAGAACAGACCUCCGGAACGAAUUAAGUUCGUAACUAGAGGUACCACUGUAUAUCCAAUGUAUGAAAAAUACCCUAACCCAUACAUUCUUAUAUAAAUUCCAUAUUAUUAUCCUAAUACAUAUGUAAAUAUUAAUACCCUACUACAUUAUGUAUAAACCCAUUCCAAAUCGUGUCAUAUUUAUCCAAUGUUACUGCAAAAGUAACAGGACUGGCAGGGAUAAAUGUAAGACAUGAUCUAAGAAUGUUCAGGCCGGGAUGUAUUGAGAUCCUCCAUCAAUGGCAUGGGAAUCUCCUGUCACACAUAGAGAAUCUCGGAGCCCAUCAUAUAUGUAAUGAAUAUCCACAUGGUGGUUUUUUUGUUUGUUUGCUUGCUUGCUUGCUUUUCAGCGGACAACACCAGUACAGUAUAGAACUUCUUAAAACACAUGGAAGGAACUGAUGAUCUGAUUGGCUAUAAUUGACAAUGUCAGAUUAAAAGGGGUUGAGUGGGAAAUGGCAAGCUCCAAUAGUCAAAGGGGACAGCUAGUUCUUUGCAUCUUGGAGACAUGACUUGCAUUUUCUCCCGCAGUGCCAGACUCCUUGAUUCCCCAUGAGCUUUCCCUCAUCCGAAUUAAUGCAAGCUCUUUUUUUUCCUGAGCUCCCCUUCACUAAUUUCUUUUGACACCACGGAAUUCUCCUCCUCUGCUUCAAUGACCCCCUUUUAACUUGUGCUUUCGUCACCAGGGUAAUGCAACUGACAAGCGCCUAUAUGAAAGCUGACACAACUCAUUGAUAUAUAUUGUGCUUGCAGAGAGCAAUUUGCCCAAAGAUCAUAGCCUGCUUAGCUAUUUGUCUCACACCUACCUGGACAGACAGGGCUGUAAAGCUCAUCCAUCAACAUUCACAAUGAAAGCUCCAUGGGAUUUUGGAAAAUGUACAAUGAGAAAAUGAGAGCUUGUGUAAUCAAGAUAAGAUAAAAGGUGACAAGCAGGAGAGCUGAUACAAGUCCAUGUUUCUUGGGAAUGAAAGCUCAUCUCGCAACUUUAGAUUAAGCACAGGUUUAUUCAUGUACAGUUAGAUCCCAAAAGACAUCCCCAAAAAAUGAUUUUGGACUCAUCAGGAGCUUUAAACUUUUCAGCAGCAGAGGGUGCAUAUGAUGACAAUGCAGUUGCCCAUCAAACAGUAAGAUGAGCAGAGCCUGCAAUUGCUUUCGAGUACAAUGAGCAAAGCUGGUUUGGAUAUACUUCUGGAACGUGCAGAUACUUAACCUAAAUCUCAUUUUGUGUUAUAUUUGCAGUUCUGUGGGAAAGAAAAUUGGAGCUAUAUGCUCCGAAAAUCACAAUGUGUUUCUGAACGGUUAUUCUGGUACCCUGUUGCAGUUUAAGACCAGUUCACACUAGUGAACUGCCAUAGCUUUGCCUCCGGAUCAUGAUUAAGGAUGCACUCCUAACCCUGGCCACUGCCUGGCAGGGCUUAACAGGACGACUGAGCCAUUAACACUCCUGCAGCCCUGCUGAGCAUCCUGACCAGGGUAGAAGGUUGUAGGGCAAGCCAGUCUCUGUGUCCGUCUUGAGCUGGCAGAGAGACAGGGCCUGAUGCCAUCACGUGAGAGAGCAGUGGGUCUGGAUUUAAAUUAGAAGGGGCAUUCAAAUCUCCAAAUGCUCCUUUUUAGCAGUUAAUGGUGAUUCAGAUCCCCAACUUCUUCUCGGUCUCCUGGCUCUGACUGAAGCAGGAUUCACUAUCUUAAACUAAAUCUGUUUUGUUUAAAGAUGUGAAACAGAUUGGAAACCCAUAAGAAAUGCGGAGGUGUCCAACAUGGGAUGUGACAAGGGAAGUAGCAGUUUUUAUUUCAAAUGAAAAUUCCUAUGGGGUCAUCACAUUUGAGUCAUCUUAUACAUAUUUCCCUUUCCCAUUUUGGGAACAGAUGUGGAUUUAAAAACAUGCAUUACCCAUCACCAACUUUGCUAUAAUAUAGUAUCUGAAGUCUUAUUCCCCAGCUUCUGCUGUAGAAAGUAAGUGCAUGAUACUUAAAAGAUGCAAAAUUGUUUGCAUUGCAAAGUGUAACCUUAUCAGUGGGCCCAUUGAGAGAGCCAUACUGCCCUGGAAUGAGUUUUUUUCCCCUGAAGUAGCUUGGACACACCUUCUGUCAGUACUGGGCCGUUGGCUGCAGUCUGUGGUGAAGCAGGGAUCAUGGACAACCCAGCAGGAGUUAUGGACCAGCUCCAGGAAACAGCUCAGUGGUACAGCACUUGCAUGCAGAGGGUCUCUGCUUCCAUCUCUGGUAUCUUCAGGUCUGUCACAGUCUGGUUUACAGGUGGUCAAAGUUCUGGCUGAGGACAUCGGGACCGGGACAUCGGGGUGGGAGCAGGAGCAGGAACAGGAGUCCAGAACCAGGAGUCAGAAAGCCAAGAGUCUGAGGAUCAGGAAGCAAGGAGUCAAGAAGCCCAAGGCAGGAAGCAUGUUGGUGUGGCAAAGAGCCAAAGGGAAAUGCUGACCUUAUAUCCCUUCCCAGCUCUUGCCACCAGGUGCUGUGUGUUACCAAUCGGCCUCACCUGUGCGGCCGCGCCUUGCCUCUUCAGAACAAACUUAGGAAAGCCCCAGUCCUGCGAAGCCCUACUGGUCACAGGGCCUGGCUCCUGCACACACUCCUGACAAGGUCAGGCUGAAGAGCUGCUGCCAAUCAGAGUGGACACUACUGAGCUGGAUGAAGCAAUGGUCUACCUCGGUAGAAGGCAGUUUUUGAUAUUUUGCUAUAGUCAGCAUCACAGAGCAUGUCAGGGCUGAAAGGCAAAAUAGAAGGAUAUCCAGGAACAAGGCAGAAGGCAGCACCGAAGGGCAAGCCAAAGGAACGCAGCCGAGAUCAGGAAGACCUUGUGGAGCAAGGAAGGCUCAACUGGAAUUAUUGGUGCUAGCAAAGCAAGACUUUGCGGUGGAAUCUCACUGAGCAGAAUGAAGAGGACAAUCCCUAAAUGCAACAGGGCUAACUUACCUCAUUUUGAAAUAAUUCACAUUAUCUUAUAAAGACUGGGGCAGAUAAAACCAUUAUGUCCAGAUUCUAAAGUCAUGUAACUGCACUUCUCCACUGUGGCCAGAAACAGGAAGCUCUCUUAUCGUUCUUCCUGUCUAAGAGGUUCCAACAGCCAGCCUGGGUGGGUUGCAUUAGCACAGGGAUGAAGGCCAUAAAUUGCCUGGGCAGGAUGCUACAACAUGCAGUUCAGUGGUUCGUCACAUGAGGCAGCCGCACAAAAAAACAACAACAAAAAACCAUGGUCUCCUGACUUCUUGCCGUGUAGAAAGGAAGAAAGCAUCACACACACCAGGUAUUUCUCUGCAUGAUCUCCUUGUUCUGUCAUUUCUUGCAGUGCUAAUGUUAAGAAGAUGCCGUCUGCUGCAUGAUCAUGAAACAAAUGCCCUUUCUUCCUUUGUGGAUAUUGUUUCACUUUGUGCAGGUAUAUCACUGUAUGGCACAGGGCUUCCCAUUUUAAACAGCAUACUACAUUAAGGGCUGGGCUUGGGAGAUGAGCUCUUGAACAAAGCCUUUUGAUAGCACAGCACACGUUUAAGGUUUUAUGAAACUGUCUGAAACCAAGGCGGGGGAGAGCGAGAGAGCUCACUGUAGCUAUUUUUUAAUAAGCAAUGGAGCACAGCUAUAAAUCUGGGGAGGCUUUAUGAGGUUUUAUUUGCUACAUUAUUUGUGCAAAGAUAGCCUGAUGAACACUGUUAUAAUUUCCCUUUUAUGUGUUUGGCCCUAUGUCAUUUAAGGCUGUUUGAAUAAUUCAGUGUAUAGGGAAGAUUCAGAUAAGGUAUGAAAAUGCACGGGGAUGCACAUUUAGGGAUGUACAGAGGUGACACUCUUGGUUCAUGAUUUACCCCACAAUUUAGCAUUGCUUCUCACUUUUCUUCCAUGUAACACAAGGAACUCAUGGAAAUUAUGCCUUCUUAUGAGGAACGGCUUAGGGAGCUGGGUAUGUUUAGCCUGGAGAAGAGAAGGUUAAGGGGUGAUAUGAUAGCUAUGUUCAAAUAUAUAAAAGGAUGUCAUAUAGAGGAGGGAGAAAGGUUGUUUUUUGCUUCUCCAGAGAAGCGGACAUGGAGCAAUGGAUUCAAACUACAAGAAAGAAGAUUCCACCUCAACAUUAGGAAGAACUUCCUGACAGUAAGAGCUGUUCGGCAGUGGAAUUUGCUACCAAGGAGUGUGGUGGAGUCUCCUUCUUUGGAGGUCUUUAAGCAGAGGCUUAACAGGCGUAUGCCAAGAAUGCUUUGAUGGUGUUUUCUGCUCGGCAGGGGGUAGGACUGGAUGGCCCUUGUGGUCUCUUCCAACUCUAUGAUCCUAUGAUUCUCUAUGAUUCUAUGAUUCAAGGAAGCCUCCAUAGAGUUUCUUCUUAGUCUCCUAUCCAGAUACUGCUUAUCUUAGGAACAUUAGAACCUGCCUUACACCAAGUCAGAGCAGUGGUCCAUAAGUGUCAUCUAAAAUGACUGGUAGUGGGUGUACAAGGUUUCAGGGAGAGUUCUGUCCUGGUCCUCCAUGGAGAUCCCAACCCUUGGACCAUCAGGUCCAUUUCCCCUUUGUUAACAUUCGCAGGGAAACCGAAAUGCUUGUUUACAAAGCUAUUGUACUACCAACCUUACUAUAUGCUUGUGAAACAUGGACCACUUAUAAACGCCAUCUCUAACUCCUCGAAAGAUUCCAUCAACGGUGUCUCCGAAA